CAGCAGCCGCGGUAAUACGUAGGGUGCGAGCGUUAAUCGGAAUUACUGGGCGUAAAGCGUGCGCAGGCGGUUAUAUAAGACAGAUGUGAAAUCCCCGGGCUCAACCUGGGACCUGCAUUUGUGACUGUAUAGCUAGAGUACGGUAGAGGGGGAUGGAAUUCCGCGUGUAGCAGUGAAAUGCGUAGAUAUGCGGAGGAACACCGAUGGCGAAGGCAAUCCCCUGGACCUGUACUGACGCUCAUGCACGAAAGCGUGGGGAGCAAACAGGAUUAGAUACCCCUGUAGUCCCGUCUCUUAUACC
rnacentral:rRNA from 1 species